GCUCCAGACAAACCCCAGUUCAGAAGAGAGAAAGAAAAAGAAGGAUCCCUUAGAAGGGAGUGAGGAAAGCCAGCAGGCUUUACUUGUUUUGUUCUCAUGAGGCCCUGCAAGCUGGGACUAGUAUCAAAAGCUUGCACACUCUCCCUUCCAUCUAUCUCUACGAAAAGCCAGGUCCAGCUGAGAGAACCAGCUCAGCCCCUGCUAGGGUUUUGGGGAGGCGGGAUGAGGUUUUCCCAGGGUGGGCGGUGAGUUUGCACCAUAAAAAGUGGUUCCUUUUGGUAGUAUUUGAAUGCCUGUUUACUCUUGGGUAGGGAAAUCCUCUCCUCCCUGAUGGCUAUAAAUCCUCUUCAGCUCAACCUUGGUCUCUCAUCCCUUCUUCCUCCUCCUCUUCAUCUCCUUUCAGAGGCUGUUUGGCCUAGGGUUUUAGAUCCAGUGGUGUGGUGUUCCUUUUCUCCAUGGGAAGAGUUGUGUUUGUGAGAGAGGAAGAGGAAGGAUGAGGAAUGGCCUCUUCACUGCCUUCCACCGAGCAAAGUAUUCGGUGUCUUUCUUCCAUACAGAGCGGAGAUCAUGGUUGGAAAGAGCACAGGUGAAACGGGUCGUGCCUGGCUCCCUGUAUGCCACACAUAUAGACCAAUCCAUGGAGUGAUUAGCUAGUGUGGGUGGCGUGCAAGGAGCCAAGCAUGCCUCUCUCUCUCUCUCUCUCUCUCUCUCUUUCUCUCUCUCUCUGUGUAUUUGAUGUAGCAGUCACUUUGUGUGGUGCUUUAGAUUGUAUUAUAUGGAAAAUGGAGGUACAUAUGUGAUCACAUAUUUUAAGUUUGGCUCUUGAUGAUGGUUUCAUUCUUUUGCAGGACUCAAGGGGGCUUGUCACCAAGCUCAUGUCAGAGAUAGAGAACUAGAGGUUUAGAUAAGUGUGAUCCUUUGUCAUUUGUUUGGGUGAGAGGAUGUAAGUGUGAUUUAGUCUAUGAAACAACAUCUUCUUUACUUGUUUGUGAUAUUUUAUAGAAAGAGCAUACGAUCUUCUGAACGAUAUAGAAAUAGAAGCUGUUUUUGCACUACACCUGUAUGGAUGAGACCAAAGAUUCCGUGACAUGUGUUUGUGGAGAAAGUUCUAUGAUUCUUUCAAGCGUCAGUAUGUGUGAGUAAAGGGUAGAGACAUUUUUAGUAGUUUUGUCUACAAUAUUUCAUGCCUCUCAUCCUUUGUUCCCUUUUAUUUUGUUUGCAAUUAUUUAUGUUGCGCUUUCUGCUUUGUUCGAAUCCAUGGAUUGCAUUGUUUUUCUUGUAUUGGUUUCCAAGUGCAAGUCAUUCUCUCUGCUGAGCUUUUCUAGGGUUCGGGUUGAUGUGUCAGAUCCUUGAGAGAUUCUUGGAUGGGACUUGAGAUUCAUGUAUAUAUAUGCACAUGAUUUUAUGGUCCAUUGACUACUGAGGACACAAGUCUGGGAGCUCUCAUUUCAUCUUAUGCAGCUGAUCACCAUGAGAUCCAAUCCCUCAAAGAGAGAAGAAACUGUAGCUCUUGGGCUUUGAUCUCUCACUACUUGGAUCCUAUAUAAUUUACCUACAAGCUCAUUGCUUGUGUGCUUUCUUCUGCAUUCAAUCUGGAGUCAUGCAUACAUCCUUCUCACAAUGUCGGCAACAGUUGUAAGUUAGUAGUGAUACGAGUACAUAGGAUUACCUCUGAUAUGAAAGCUUCGCUACCUUCUCCCCUUGAGAAAAGCUCAACCGUUGGUCUUCCUUCUCUCUCAUUAUUUUGCAUGGUGGUGCAGGCGAGAGGGGUCCUCGCCACAGGUGCCUCUCCAUUGGAUUGGAGCCACCAGAAUGCGAGGCACUGGUUUUGGUCUGCUCAUGCAUGGCACUUCACUUUUCUUUUGCCUUGCUUUUGUUGGUGAUGGUGCAAGCAAGAAGAGCCCAAGUGUUUUGGCUCCCAGCUUUCUACCCUUCCGAGGACUGAGCAGCUUUGCAUGUCACCCAAAAGGAACUCUCAGGUCUCGGGAAAAGAAGCCUAUCCAACAAAAUCCCCACUUCUGCUGUUCUCAAGUUGUGUACACAAAGAUUAAAGAUGCUGCCACUAUUAUACCAAGGGAAUAUAUAUAUAUAUAUAUAUACAUAUAUUAUAUCUUCACAAAUAAAUCAUGACUGCAUGUAUAAUCUUCUUAGCUAUUGUUGAGACAUGAAACUUAGGAGUGAGUUAAACUUGC